rnacentral:rRNA from 1 species
GACGAACGCUGGCGGCGUGCUUAACACAUGCAAGUCGAGCGGUAAGGCCCUUUUGGGGGUACACGAGCGGCGAACGGGUGAGUAACACGUGGGUGACCUGCCCUCAGCUCUGGGAUAAGCCUGGGAAACUGGGUCUAAUACUGGAUAUGACCUUUCCUCGCAUGGGGUUGGGUGGAAAGUUUUUCGGCGUGGGGAGUGGGCCCGGCGGCCUACCAGCUUGUUGGUGGGGUGAUGGCCUACCAAGGCGACGACGGGUAGCCGGCCUGAGAGGGCGACCGGCC